rnacentral:rRNA from 1 species
GAUGAACGCUGGCGGCGUGCCUAACACAUGCAAGUCGAACGGGAUUUAAUUAAAAGCUUGCUUUCAAUUAAUGAGAGUGGCGCACGGGUGAGUAACACGUAGCUCAUUUGCCCCAGAGAGCGGGAUAACGCACCGAAAGGUGUGCUAAUACCGCAUAAGCUCACGUCGAGUAGGUAGAUGUGAGAAAAAGCUCAGGCGCUUUGGGAUAAGGCUGCGUUCCAUCAGCUAGUUGGUGAGGUAAAGGCUCACCAAGGCGACGACGGAUAGGGGACCUGAGAGGGUGACCCCCCACACUGGGACUGAGACACGGCCCAGACUCCUACGGGAGGCAGCAGUGAGGAAUAUUGCACAAUGGACGCAAGUCUGAUGCAGCAACGCCGCGUGGGUGAUGAAGGUUUUCGGAUCGUAAAGCCCUUUUCUUGGUGACGAGGAAGGACGGUAGCCAAGGAAUAAGUGUCGGCUAACUACGUGCCAGC